rnacentral:rRNA from 1 species
UACGUAGGCAGCAAGCGUUGUUCAGAGUUACUGGGCGUAAAGGGUGUGUAGGCGGUUGUCUAAGUUUGGUGUGAAAUCUCCCGGCUCAACUGGGAGGGUGCGCCGAAUACUGAAUGACUAGAGUGCGGGAGAGGAAAGUGGAAUUCCUGGUGUAGCGGUGAAAUGCGUAGAUAUCAGGAGGAACACCGGUGGUGUAGACGGCUUUCUGGACCGUAACUGACGCUGAAACACGAAAGCGUGGGUAGCAAACAGG